CUAUGUUGGUGAGGCUGGUCUCGAACUUCCUACCUCAGGUGAUCUGCCUGCUUUGGUCUCCUAAAGUGCUGGGAUUACAGGCGUGAGCCACCGCGCCCGCCCGAAAUUUUGUAUCCUUUGACCACCAUCUCGAACCCUUCCCCUGUCCCUCUAAGCUGAGUUCUUGACGGCCGACGUGGGUUAGUGGUGUUAUGCUAUUGGUUAGCCUUAUUUCCCAUCAAACCUUCUCUUAGGCCUACCCUAGUCCUUCGAGCUUCUUCCGGGACCUCCCCUGGGCCUGUGCCGUCCCGCUCCCUGCGUGGGCCUUGCUUCCGGGUGCACAGAUGCACCACGGGCCUUCCUGGAGGGCAGAAUUCAGUUGCUCGCGGCCUUGCCGGGCGUCCAGAGCCAGAGCUGGGCCCUGGCAGCAGGCUCCUCACUGGCAGGUCUGUUGGAAACGCUUGGCGCUCACUACCUGCCUAUGGACCGGGGGCUUCUGGAGGGCAGGUCAGGGGUCCAGCCCCACCCCCCACGACUUAUCUGCGCGCGGUCCGAGUUAGCGGAACUGUGCAGGCUUCAGGCCACCCACCCGAGUCACCGGACUAAGGGUCUCGCUCUGGAGGAGUGCAGUAUGGCGACCUCGGCUCCCGCAGCCUCGGGGCUCAAGCGAGCCGCGUUCCUCAGUCUCCUGGGUAGCUGGGACCACAGUAAUUAAAGAAAUGGGAGAAAUAAAGCAACAUAUGUCAUCAAAAGAUCAAAAAAAACAAGAAUGGAAUAUUCACUGACUUCAUUAGGCCAAAUGCUUGUUGAAAGGAACAAGGCAAAUACAGAGUGGGGAUGGUCCUUGUUAUAAUUAACUUCAACAAUCCUUAGUUAAAACAAGGCAAAAUUCUCAAAGGUGAUGGCGAAUGGAGUCACUAAGGAGCUUAGUCUUUCUGUGGACCCAGGUAAGCGUGCUCCUCGCACCUAACGGUGCCUGUACUUGUAGGACUAAUAGCCCAGAGUUUCCCACCUGGGCGCCCAGGGAAGACAGGCCGCAGCUGAAUGGUGACUGGCUCUGUCAAGAGGUGAGGCUUGCCUCUGUGUGUACUGGGGCUCGAGGCCACGGCUGAUCUCCAACACAUGCGCAUGGUAAACUUCCUAGUUUUGGUCCUAAGUUAGUGGAGACAAGCUGCCCCACUCCCUGCUGCCAAGUCAUCAUUCCAUAUCAGGUGUUUGGAUUUCAUUCCUGCAAGCGGGAAGAAUGUGUGCAAAGAGCUGGACAGCCAGUAGGGCCUGGGAGACCUCCAUGGACGUCUGCCAUGGAGAACAUUUGCAUGGACCAAGGGGGCAGGCUCUUGGGAAGCACACACUCUCUCCCCAGGUGCUGGCAGGAGCAGGCCACCAGUCUGUUUGAGCAGCAAUGAAAGGGACACUGUUUGGCAAUUCAAGCACAGGAAUGCACAUGUGUGGGCCCACUCACUGCCGGCUGGACAGCUGCAGAGGGGGCGUGAUGAUGGAGACCUUAUGCCCCCUCCCAUGAGGGACCUGAAAAUACGGCAUCAAGAGAAAUGACAGCAAAACCACUGAAGAGGAUUAAAGAGAAGGACAAAGCCUUUAACCAGGCCACAGUAGAACAAAGGUCCCAUAAGAAACUUGUAACAGUAUUUUGCCAACAACUCUUAGAAGAAAACGCAUUUGGCCAAAAGACCUAGAAGUAAACACCAAGGUUAGGUAGUUGUGAAAAUCAUCUGGCCAGGGGC